rnacentral:rRNA from 1 species
AACGAACGCUGGCGGCAGGCCUAACACAUGCAAGUCGAGCGAGGACUUCGGUCCUAGCGGCGGACGGGUGAGUAACGCGUGGGAACGUGCCCUUUGCUUCGGAAUAGCCCUGGGAAACUGGGAGUAAUACCGGAUGAGCCCUUUGGGGGAAAGAUUUAUCGGCGAAGGAUCGGCCCGCGUUGGAUUAGGUAGUUGGUGGGGUAAUGGCCUACCAAGCCGACGAUCCAUAGCUGGUUUGGGAGGAUGAUCAGCCACACUGGGACUGAGACACGGCCCAGACUCCUACGGGAGGCAGCAGUGGGGAAUCUUAGACAAUGGGGGAAACCCUGAUCUAGCCAUGCCGCGUGAGCGAUGAAGGCCUUAGGGUUGUAAAGCUCUUUCAGCUGGGAAGAUAAUGACGGUACCAGCAGAAGAAGCCCCGGCUAACUCCGUG